rnacentral:rRNA from 1 species
GACGAACGCUGGCGGCGUGCCUAAUUCAUGCAAGUUGAGCGCUGAAGGUUGGUACUUGUACCAACUGGAUGAGCAGCGAACGGGUGAGUAACGCGUGGGGAAUCUGCCUUUGAGCGGGGGACAACAUUUGGAAACGAAUGCUAAUACCGCAUAAAAACUUUAAACACAAGUUUUAAGUUUGAAAGAUGCAAUUGCAUCACUCAAAGAUGAUCCCGCGUUGUAUUAGCUAGUUGGUGAGGUAAAGGCUCACCAAGGCGAUGAUACAUAGCCGACCUGAGAGGGGGAUCCGCCACAAUGGGACUUAGACAAGGGCCAAACUCCCACGGGAGGCAGCAGGAGGGAAGCUUCGGGAAAGGAAGAAAGUCUGACCGAGCAACGCCGCGUGAGUGAAGAAGGUUUUCGGAUCGUAAAACUCUGUUGGUAGAGAAGAACGUUGGUGAGAGUGGAAAGCUCAUCAAGUGACGGUAACUACCCAGAAAGGGACGGCUAACUACGUG